rnacentral:rRNA from 1 species
AAUUUUGGACAAUGGGGGAAACCCUGAUCCAGCCAUCCCGCGUGUGCGAUGAAGGCCUUCGGGUUGUAAAGCACUUUUGUCAGGGAAGAAAUCGUACAGGCUAAUAUCUUGUGCGGAUGACGGUACCUGAAGAAUAAGCACCGGCUAACUACGUGCCAGCAGCCGCGGUAAUACGUAGGGUGCAAGCGUUAAUCGGAACUACUGGGCGUAAAGCGUGUGUAGGCGGUUCCGAAAGAAAGAUGUGAAAUCCCAGGGCUCAACCUUGGAACUGCAUUUUUAACUGCCGAGCUAGAGUAUGUCAGAGGGGGGUAGAAUUCCACGUGUAGCAGUGAAAUGCGUAGAGAUGUGGAGGAAUACCGAUGGCGAAGGCAGCCCCCUGGGAUGAUACUGACGCUCAUGCACGAAAGCGUGGGGAGCAAACAG